rnacentral:rRNA from 1 species
GACGAACGCUGGCGGCGUGCCUAACACAUGCAAGUCGAGCGAAUGAAGUUCCUUCGGGAAUGGAUUUAGCGGCGGACGGGUGAGUAACACGUGGGCAACCUGCCUCAUAGAGGGGAAUAGCCUUCCGAAAGGGAGAUUAAUACCGCAUAAGAUUGUAGUACCGCAUGAUACAGCAAUUAAAGGAGCAAUCCGCUAUGAGAUGGGCCCGUGGCGCAUUAGCUAGUUGGUGAGGUAACGGCUCACCAAGGCGACGAUGCGUAGCCGACCUGGGAGGGUGAUCGGCCACAUUGGGACUGAGACACGGCCCAGACUCCUACGGGAGGCAGCAGUGGGGAAUAUUGCACGAUGGGGGAAACCCUGAUGCAGCAACGCCGCGUGAGUGAUGACGGCCUUCGGGUUGUAAAGCUCUGUCUUCAGGGACGAUAAUGACGGUACCUGAGGAGGAAGCCACGGCUAACUACGUGCCAGCCGCCGCAGUAA